rnacentral:rRNA from 1 species
GACGAACGCUGGCGGCGUGCUUAACACAUGCAAGUCGAACGAAGAGCGAUGGAAGCUUGCUUCUAUCAAUCUUAGUGGCGAACGGGUGAGUAACGCGUAAUCAACCUGCCCUUCAGAGGGGGACAACAGUUGGAAGCGACUGCUAAUACCGCAUACGAUCUGACCUCGGCAUCGAGGAUAGAUGAAAGGUGGCCUCUAUUUAUAAGCUAUCACUGAAGGAGGGGAUUGCGUCUGAUUAGCUAGUUGGAGGGGUAACGGCCCACCAAGGCGAUGAUCAGUAGCCGGUCUGAGAGGAUGAACGGCCACAUUGGGACUGAGACACGGCCCAGACUCCUACGGGAGGCAGCAGUGGGGAAUCUUCCGCAAUGGACGAAAGUCUGACGGAGCAACGCCGCGUGAGUGAUGACGGCCUUCGGGUUGUAAAGCUCUGUUAAUCGGGACGAAAGGCCUUCUUGCGAAUAGUUAGAAGGAUUGACGGUACCGGAAUAGAAAGCCACGGCUAACUACGUG